UUUCCAGACUCCUACGGGAGGCAGCAGUGGGGGAUAUUGCACAAUGGGGGGAACCCUGAUGCAGCGACGCCGCGUGGGUGAAGGAGCGUUUCGGCGCGUAAAGCCCUAUCGGCAGGGAAGAAGGAGGACGGUACCUGACUAAGAAGCCCCGGCUAACUACGUGCCAGCCGCCGCGGCAAUACGUAGGGGGCAAGCGUUAUCCGGAUUUACUGGGGGUAAAGGGGGCGUAGACGGCAUAGCAAGUCUGAAGUGAAAGCCCGUGGCGCAACCGCGGAACUGCUUUGGAGACUGUUAAGCUGGAGUGCUGGAGAGGCAAGCGGAAUUCCUAGUGUAGCGGUGAAAUGCGUAGAUAUUAGGAGGAACACCAGUGGCGA
rnacentral:rRNA from 1 species